UAAAGCUAGGAAUUGGUUCAGCACAGCUGUUACUCUUGCUCCUGAUAUUGGGGAUUUUGGGGCAUUGUUCUACAAAUGUGAACUUCAGCAUGGAAAUGCAGACACUCAAAAGGAUGUUCUGAAAAGAUGCGUUUCAACAGAAACAAAACAUGGUGAAAAAUGGCAAGCAAUAACCAAGGCUGUUGAAAACUCAUAUAAGCUUGUUGAGGCUCUUUUGAAGAAAGCUGUUGUGGUGCUUGAUGCAGAAGAACGCGCGAAUGCCACAGGUGCCUAGGCUCCUAGAUCAUUUAUUUUUAUAAGGUAUUUGGCGAAUUUGUUUUGUACUACUGUUAUAUUAUCUUUUAGUAUUUCAGUUGAGUUAAUAUUUUUUUUGCGGGUAUCAGUUGAAUUAAUAUGAUUAUCACUACCUGAGAGUUGCAAGUUGAAUUAUUAUUUUUAUUUGCAUAAUCAAGUACCUAUAUCAUGCUCCGAAUCUAGUUCCUUUGUAUGCCAACUCUGAGGUGUUAUCAGAACUCUCUUUAACUACAGUAGGCAGAACCUAGUGUUGCUUCUUUGCUUGCAACCAGCCUGCUGCAAAGUUUCUGCUGUAGUGAUGCCGUUUUAGUCUACCAUUUUUAUGGAUUACUGUUGCAUUCCUGUUUGUCAUGACACUAAGGUUGUACCUGUAGCAACUAUAGACAACCUAUGCAAAUCAGGAAGGGUUAUGGAAGUCCAGAAUCUCUUGAUAGUUCAUGCAGGUGCAAGUGCAAAGCCUUACAUUUUUUUUGUUGUAUGACCCUAAAAUAAAUGGGUAUUGCUUAUCUGGUAAACUGGACGAAGCAAUGAAACACCUCAAUGUUUAUUCUCUUUCAUGGCUUGAAAACUGGUGUUAAUAGUGUACUUGAUUGCAUGGACUCUAUUGGCUUGCAAGUAUCAACCAAUGUUGUUACCUAUAAUACUUUGAGCAAUGGUUAUUGCAAACAUGGUAGGAUAGAGGAUGCAUUAACUCUGUUCAGAGAAAUGUUGAGCAAGGGAAACUGAUGCUAUAUUGCUAUCACAGAAGGCGUAAGGACUUUACCUGAAGAUGGUAGAAACUAAAAAGUAUAUAAUGCAUAGUCUUAACUGAAAUGUGCUAUCAUCAUGUACCUGAAGAUGAUUGAAAGUGCUAUUGAUCUGAAGAGCCUAUAUUGUGCUUUUUUAUCUGGCCUGUCAUAUGUAUGCAGUGUUUCAAAGGCUACAAGGCGAUGUAUGCAGUGUUUCAAAGGAUACAAGGUGACCCAAAGCGAGCUGGGUCCGCCCGGAUGCCUAGGCGUCCUAGGUGACGCCUUUGAAACACUGUAUGAGUUGCUCCAUGCAUGCCAGAAAGCAGGUCCAGAAAGAACCAUACAUCACAGCCGCCGCCGCUGUCUCCGCCACUAUAUCUCCAAGCUUCCUCCGAUUCUCCAAGCUCUCUACGAUUCUCCUUAUCCCCAUGACUAUGUAUGGAUGGAAAGCAAUGUACCUACAGAGGUAUCGGCAAGCAUCAGAAGCCACAUCGCUUAUUAAAUUAUUAUUUUAAUAUUGCAAUUUCCUGAUACUUGACGAUACAUGUUUCAGGCUGUAUCACACCGUAUCAGAUUUGGGUACAGCAGCCUACAUGAAGCAUUUGUGAUACAUGACUGGGUGGUACAAAUGGGAUUUAAAAAAAAAAGCUAUUUUCAGUGAUACUAGUGUUGACCGUAAGAAUUUAUGGUUCCAUGGCACCUAUGAUACUGCAUAGUUAAAUUAUUAGUGGAACAUCAGUGAAUAGUGUACCCAGAGCUCAGUUAUUACUUCUCAAUUUAGCUUGAUAAGAUGUGUCUUUGUUCCUGAGUGGAAUGGGGUAUCUUCUUAUUAGUUGAGUUGCAGCAAAACCUAGACAGAGUGCUGAAGCUACUAUCAAGCCUGUUGAGAACUCACAUCACAUCAGCCAGUUGAGGCCACUCAAAAUAGAGCUGUAGUGGCUUUUGAUAGAGAAGAAAAAUCGCAGAUGCCUCAGCACCUUGAUCAGACUGUCUUGAUAAGGUCUACAUCUUGCGCACGCUGACAUUGGAAUAACUGAAGAAAGCAGCAAAGAGUUUUGCAGCGAAACUUUCUGUCGGGCGUCAGCACCAAACUGUUCUUUUUUGCAUGUUGCCCAAGGCGAGUUGUUGAUGUUGCAGCACUGCCCGUGCCAAAGAUCUGAUUCGGAGCCAUUGCCAGAGACAUGAGCUUAGGUUAGAAGCAUGGGAUUCAAUAAUGGUGUGUGUAUGUAAUGUAGAUCUUCUGUUUACCACGAUCCGCAUUCUGUGCAAUCCCAGAUAUUACCAAAAAUUGUUGAAACUUUGUAAUCGUGUAUGCGCAGUUGCAUUUUGUGCA